rnacentral:rRNA from 1 species
GUAGGUGGCAAGCGUUGUCCGGAAUUAUUGGGCGUAAAGCGCGCGCAGGCGGUCCUUUAAGUCUGAUGUGAAAGCCCACGGCUCAACCGUGGAGGGUCAUUGGAAACUGGGGGACUUGAGUACAGAAGAGGAAAGCGGAAUUCCAAGUGUAGCGGUGAAAUGCGUAGAGAUUUGGAGGAACACCAGUGGCGAAGGCGGCUUUCUGGUCUGUAACUGACGCUGAGGCGCGAAAGCGUGGGGAGCAAACAGGGAUUAGAUACCCUGGUAGUCCACGCCGUAAACGAUGAGUGCUAAGUGUUAGGGGGUUUCCCGCCCCUUAGUGCUGCAGCUAACGCAUUAAGCACUCCGCCUGGGGAGUACGGCCGUAAGGCUG